GACGAACGCUGGCGGCGUGCCUAAUACAUGCAAGUAGAACGCUGAAGGAGGAGCUUGCUCUUCUGGAUGAGUUGCGAACGGGUGAGUAACGCGUAGGUAACCUGCCUGGUAGCGGGGGAUAACUAUUGGAAACGAUAGCUAAUACCGCAUAACAGUAGAUGUUGCAUGACAUUUGCUUAAAAGGUGCAAUUGCACCACUACCAGAUGGACCUGCGUUGUAUUAGCUAGUUGGUGGGGUAACGGCUCACCAAGGCGACGAUACAUAGCCGACCUGAGAGGGUGAUCGGCCACACUGGGACUGAGACACGGCCCAGACUCCUACGGGAGGCAGCAGUAGGGAAUCUUCGGCAAUGGACGGAAGUCUGACCGAGCAACGCCGCGUGAGUGAAGAAGGUUUUCGGAUCGUAAAGCUCUGUUGUAAGAGAAGAACGAGUGUGAGAGUGGAAAGUUCACACUGUGACGGUAUCUUACCAGAAAGGGACGGUUAACUACGUG
rnacentral:rRNA from 1 species